AACGCAUAUGGCACCCGAGACUUCGGUCGAGGGUAUGUCUGUCUCAGAGUCGGCGUAAAAACAUCCCCAAGGUUGAAAAGGCGCUUUUCUCCGGCGGGGGAGCUGGUCCUCCCGGGGGGAGGGGGGAAACCUCUCUUUUUCCCGGGUUGGCCGAAGGCAAGAGACGGGGGACCGCACGCGUCGGACAGCCACGAUUUUGGUGGGAGGACCUCGGAGUCCGCAUCAUCGAUCGGGCGUCCCGUACAGGCGUCGCGGCCGCAUGGGCCCCGCUACCGCAGGAUACCAAACAUCAGUUCCGACCUGAGAUCAGGCAAGAUCACCCGCUGAACUUAA
rnacentral:misc_RNA from 1 species